GGUGUACCACGUGCGACAUCAAUGACGCUUGUCCUGCUGGCGGAGAAACCAUUGAAUACACAGUGUCCUGUAAUAUGUAUUUAUCUGAGUUUGGCGUGGAUACUGAAACGGCAAACGCAACUAGCAGGAUAACCUUCGAUGAAGAUACUGACCCUCCGUUCGCCUUUCGAUCCGAUGUUAUACAUGUCGGAACAAGUAUAACAAUAGGAAAUACUAAUUUACUCGUCAGUCGCAUCUUUUCGGACCCAGUGAACCACUCUUUGGUACAAAGAGAAUAUGAUACAUGUACGUUCAGCAAAGAGACAAACAAUCUACCAUGGUUAACUAUUGAUGGUGCUACCGACACCACGGUAGACAUCCGAGUAUCAAGCACUGUGUCGCAUAGCGCAGGCACACACACUGAAACAUUUUGUGCAACUAAUCGUAGAGGACUGGAAAACUGUAAAGAUCUGACGGUGA